rnacentral:lncRNA from 1 species
AUUUCUCCCCAUAUGAAACCUCCCCCCAGAAAUAAUCCUCACAUAACACCUUCUUCCCAAAUAAAACUCCCCACACAAGACCCCCUCCACAUAAAAAUCACCAUAUUCACCCAUCUAUAUAUACAAACAACAAAUACCAAAGGGGGGAUAAAAAAAACACACAGAAAAAAGGCCCAAAAUCUGAAAAAACAUAGCCGAGAAGAUCAGUAGACGAGACCCCCUCCCUGAUUUCUGAGCUCCCACUAACCACCCCACCUCCAAACGAUCCUUCAACUCUUCCCUUACCAAACAGCGGCGAACUCGCCGGAGCAGCCAGCUUCAACCCCAAAAAUCCCAAGAUCCAUGAACACCCCUAGAGCACUAAGCUUCAGCAACACCAACCAGUGACCAUCUCGAACCAGUAGCAACCACUGGCACCAGUGAAAUCCGGCAAGCACCACUGCGUCACUAGAAUCCGCCUGAAAACACGCACCCAAACACUGAAUUUUUCGGCUCAAGUUCUUUUGUUUCCUUUAACAAUUUGUGAAAGAAAUUUCUUAUAAAUUAUUGGGGGAGUUUGUUCGAGUUUGCAACUUGGCCGUUGUUGAAAUUUGUCGCAGUUCCGGCGAACGGGCGCAGUUCCGAUUGUUGACAUUCUGUUGAUUGCGAAAAUCAGAUCCGAUUUGUUAGUAAAAUCAUUGAGGUCUGUUUCAUUUGAUUUUUAGUUAAUUCAUGAAUCUUAGGACUUAUUUUUGGAGGAAUAAAUUUGAGUUUGAAUGAUUGGUAUUUUGAGUGUUCUUUAUCUGGUAUCAUAAAGAUUGAUUUGAGUAGAUAAUUUGGUUUAAUAGUGAUUAUUCUCUGUUAAAUGGUUUUGGGUUAUUGUUCGGUUAUUAUUGGCUACAAGCAAUUUGUUUGUGAUGAUGUGCAUUUUUUGGGGGACUAUGUUCCUUGAGUUGCGUAUUGUUCUUACUGUUAUUGACUGCUACUUUAUAUUCUUGCAUUGAAGGUUUAAUUCAUUUUUUAUUUUUAGUUGCUGGAAUAGUUUUCAAGUACCCUUGUACUUAAGUUUUCAAGUGGGAUGGCCAUUGUAAAUGUUUCUCCGGCGAAAGAAUGAAAAAGGUUUGUUUUACCGUUAGUUAGUCUGAGAAUUGUCAAACUAGUAUAUAUCAUUGUGGUGAACUUCUUAAUGCCUAGUUUUAGUUACACUGCUUUUUGUUUUCUUUCCCUUUUUACAUUUGCUCAUUGUUGGUAAACUGCCUGAUGUCUUGGUUGUUAUCUUUUCCCUUUACAUAAAUACUACAAAGUUUGGAAAUAAUGUGGUUGCCUGCAAUGGCAAAUUUAAAUCUAUUAACUUUUGUUACUUGUAUUACUGCUAAUAUGAAAUUUAGGUGCACAACUUUAUGAACAAUCGUAGAAGGCCUUUAGACGCUAUUAAUAAAUCAUCGUAAUUAUGGGUACAGUUCUCGUGACAUAGUUAUGAUGCAUAAUUUUCAAAAUUCGAGGGUACAUUUCAUGUGAUCCGAUUAUAAUAAAUUCAAACAAUAAAAUCCUUUGGUAAUAAAUUGAGAUAAGCCCCGCCACACAAAACAUAUAAAUUGGGGGGCCUCGAUAAAUGUUUGGGUUAAAAUACUUAGAUCUCGGGACGGGCCGUUUAGCGAUUUUCACGGCCCUUCCCAAAGACAAUAAUGCGCUAGACUCUUUAGGCAUGACUUUAAUUAGAUUACUUUUCUAAAACUCAGGUGCGCAUUGAUGCAACCCAAAUCCAAAUUUCAACGAGGUCAAAAUGGGUUAACAACCG